rnacentral:miRNA from 1 species
CUUUAAAUUACAUGAUAAUAAAGU